AGCAGAUAUUUAGCUCAAAGUUGUAGGAAAGAGUCAGUUAAGUUCUCCCUUUUAGAUUACUUACUUUCAAUAGGACCAAGUGCUUGCAAUUCUUAAAAGGCUGGAAAUUAUUUGAGAAGGUGGUCAUAAGAAGAAGCAAAUGUGAACCUGUGUUUCAUGUUACAAAACAAGUAGCAGCUAAGAAGGAAAAACCAGAAUCUUGCUGCUCUGAAUCGGAUUUGAUAGUGAUUCCGAGAAAGUUGCAGCUCCUUUAACUAAGAAUGGAAAUUUCAAGAAGAAAACGAAUCAAGUACUGAUGAUAGUUCAGAUGAUUCAAGCUCUGAGGAUCAACCAGUUGCAAAGAAAGUUGCUCCUUGCACCAGCAACAAAGAAGCAAGAAUCCAGUG